UACGUAGGGGGCAAGCGUUGUCCGGAAUUAUUGGGCGUAAAGAGCUCGUAGGCGGUUUGUUGCGUCGGCUGUGAAAUCCCGAGGCUCAACCUCGGGUCUGCAGUCGAUACGAGCAAACUAGAGUGUUGCAGGGGAGACUGGAAUUCCUGGUGUAGCGGUGAGAUGCGCAGAUAUCAGGAGGAACACCGGUGGCGAAGGCGGGUCUCUGGGCAACAACUGACGCUGAGGAGCGAAAGCGUGGGGAGCGAACAGG
rnacentral:rRNA from 1 species